rnacentral:rRNA from 1 species
UACGUAGGCAGCAAGCGUUGUUCGGAGUUACUGGGCGUAAAGGGCGCGUAGGCGGUCUUGCAAGUCCUGUGUGAAAUCCCUCGGCUCAACUGAGGAACUGCACAGGAAACUGCUUGGCUUGAGUUCGGGAGAGGGAAGCGGAAUUCCGGGUGUAGCGGUGAAAUGCGUAGAUAUCCGGAGGAACACCGGUGGCGAAGGCGGGUCUCUGGGCAGUAACUGACGCUGAGGAGCGAAAGCGUGGGGAGCGAACAGG